rnacentral:rRNA from 1 species
CACUGGAAACGGUGGCUAAUACCGGAUAAGCCUUUGGGUAAAAAAUUUAUUGCCCCAAGAGGAGCUCGCGUCUGAUUAGCUAGUUGGUGAGGUAAGAGCUCACCAAGGCAGCGAUCAGUAGCUGGUCUGAGAGGACGAUCAGCCACACUGGGACUGAGACACGGCCCAGACUCCUACGGGAGGCAGCAGUGGGGAAUUUUCCGCAAUGGGCGAAAGCCUGACGGAGCAAGACCGCGUGAGGGAGGAAGGCUCUUGGGUUGUAAACCUCUUUUCUCAGGGAAGAAGCUCUGACGGUACCUGAGGAAUCAGCCUCGGCUAACUCCGUGCCAGCAGCCGCGGUAAUACGGAGGAGGCAAGCGUUAUCCGGAAUUAUUGGGCGUAAAGCGUCCGCAGGGUGGCGAUUCAAGUCUGCUGUCAAAGCACGGGGCUUAACUCCGUUAAGGCAGUGGAAACUGAAUAGCUAGAGUGCCGUAGGGGUAGAGGGAAUUCCCGGUGUUGCGGUGAAAUGCGUAGAGAUCGGGAAGAACAUCGGUGGCGAAAGCGCUCUACUGGGACGGCAACUGACACUCAGGGACGAAAGCUAGGGGACCGAAUGGGAUUAGAUACCCCAGUAGUCCUAGCUGUAAACGAUGGAUACUAGGUGUAGCUUGUAUCGACCCGAGCUGUGCCGUAGCUCACGCGUUAAGUAUCCCGCCUGGGGAGUACGCACGCAAGUGUGAAACAUCAAAGGAAUUGACGGGGGCCCGCACAAGCGGUGGAGUAUGUGAUUUAAUUCGAUGCAACGCGAAGUACCUUACCAGGGCAUGACAUGUCCGGAAUCCCGGUGUAAGCUGGGAGUGCCUUCGGGAGCCGGAACACAGGUGGUGCAUGGCUCUCGUCAGCUCGUGUCGUGAGAUGUUGGGUUAAGUCCCGCAGCGAGCGCAUCCUUCUGUCUUUAGUUGCCAGCAUUUAGUUGGGCACUCUAGAGAGACUGCCGCUGACAAACCGGAGGAAGGUGGGGAUGACGUCAAGUCAGCAUGCCCCUUACGCUCUGGGCGACACACGUACUACAA